GUCUACGGCCAUACCACCCUGAAUGCGCCCGAUCUCGUGUGAUCUUGGAAGCUAAGCAGGGUCGGGCCUGGUUAGUACUUGGAUGGGAGAAAGAAUUGAUGACCGGUGGCA
rnacentral:rRNA from 1 species